rnacentral:rRNA from 1 species
GGUUAAGUGACUAAGCGUACACGGUGGAUGCCUUGGCAAUCAGAGGCGAAGAAGGACGUGCUAAUCUGCGAUAAGCUUGGAAGAGUUGAUAAGAAACGUGAUAA